AUGUCUUCAUCCAUACCAGAAUUGAUGCUCGGAAAGACUUCAGAAGUUGGUUGCACGUACUUGCCCAUCCCCAUCUUUCCUCCAAACUCACCCGCAGAACUUGCCUCCAGCAUGAUAUGAGGUCCAAUAUGAACGGAAGUCUCAGGACCGGAGCUUCGAUUAGCAUGAACUGGCUUGAUAACAAAAUCACCACCCUUCAACAGUAGCCUAUGCACAAGAGGCUCAUAAAGCUUCCCCGACAAAGCCCCCACCCAAGGGCAACUGAAUGUUUCUUUCAGAAAUCCCAACACGAACAAGCUCUGUCAUCAAAGCCUCGCUUGCAAACUGAUAUGUCUUUUCGCUGUGGUCCUCAGUUGCCACGAUGUGCAGAAUGCAGUCACUGACUUUUUCAACGUACCCUCAUGACAAAAUUGUAGCCGCUUUGGACGCACUUGAUCCGAACGACUCAACCACAGCCUUGGCCCUGGCCUUCCCCACUUUCAGCUUUGUUGCACGCAGUACAUACCUAGGAACUCCACCCAAAUAAUCGAAGUUGUCAAGCCCUUCCUUUCUGUCCACCACAUUCAUGUUCCUGUAACUAGUUCGGUAAGGCUCAAAGUCGUCAAGGAAUUUCCCAAUCUCCUCCCUGGACCACACCGACAUAUAAAGCAUGCAACAAAGUCCCCCCUUGCCAAACUCCUGGUAGUUUGUCUUGUUAGAUGAGCAAACCAAAAGAACUCGACACUUGCCAGGUAAAGGCGUCUCCUGCUUCCCAUCUAUCACUAGCCACAUUGACAGAUCGUCCAGCAUUUGGCAUAUAAUUUCGCCAUUCACGUAAUAACCACCUUCAACAUAUCGGCUUCGCAAAUUCAGGAUGUAAACAACCUCGCCAACCUUGUAUAACGCCUUUUCUUGCCCCAUUUGGCCCAGCCUAAUAAUCCAGUGAUAGCCAAAGAACGAUUUCCCUAUCCCUGCAGUGCCUAGGACAAUGAAGGAAGUGAAGUUGUUGAGCCGCUCCUGGAUUUUGGAUUCUAGACUCGCAUAUGCCUUUCGUUUCCAUAGCAGGAAAGGUUUGUCAUAAUUUCGCAGUGCAUCGCUAUCUAAAAUCCAGAAUUUAGAAUCUGGAGUAUCAGUAGCCCUUACAAGGGCCACCACACCAUCUGGUACACCUGAAGAAAGAUACGAAUGCACGGAUCAGACAAGAACUGCUACAAGCAGGCAAAUACCGCUCUGAGCAAACUCUAGUGUGAGGCAGGAAAACUUCAAACGACGGCAAAACAGUCAUCCCAGGGGGAAGAGCUCUAAGCCGAAGAAGACACAGACAGCAUUAAUAGAACGCAAGGGCCCACAUACCAAGCAGAUGGCCAUGAAUUCAAUUACAACCACAAGCCAGACACAAGCACCCAAGACCAAAUCCAACAGCGACGCCAUCAGAAGCAAGACCUUGCGCCCGAUUUCAUGGCGCACCAGGAACACCAAGAACUGGACAAAAAAUGGGUCUUCCAACAUCACACAGAUCAAAGAGAAAACAAGGGGGAAGGGCUUUCACAAUUGCUUACCAGAUCCGCGGAUUCCAUUGGCCUCCUCGUCUCCGCGGCAAAUGCCCAGUUGCGGCAUUCACAGUCUACCAAGGUGUAAUUCCGCGGUUCCCGAUGAGCUCUGAGGGGGGUACCACGGAUGCGCCCUGCGUCAACGUGCUGCGGGAGGACAAACUUCCGAGAAAACAGCUUGGUGAGCGCACCGCGCUCCUUUCUCCAGCGACCCCACCCAUGCUCCUCCUGUGCAACUCCAGCGAGGGGCACUGCAACAUUCAGAACAUAACAAAGUUAGUAUUAGAUCUGGAAGAAAAAACUAUCAAUAGAAAACAUGGCCAGAAUCAAGGGUCUCAACAGCCAUAGCCAUAAACAAGGAUCCACAAGGGAGUAUGCGUCCGCCAGCAGCAUAGCCAAAAGCCACCAUAGCCACACUUCUGGCAACCCAAAAUAAAAGCGCUAGCCGAAAGAUAUCCACGAAACACAGCAAAACGCCGCAAAAAGCUAAAUACACAAAGAAUGACUUACCAUUACUUCUGAGGUGGAGGAGGUUUUCCUCCUUCCGCAGUUGCUCUUUCUUAUUCCGCCCAUAUUCCGCCAAUAUUCCGCCAGAGAUUGAUUGCCACUCUGAAGGGCAGAGAGAAAAGACCCCAGCCGCUUGGAUCUGCGGCUCAAGAAGCCCGAUUUGAGCUUCCACCUUAGCCAAUUCCUAGAGGCAGUGGCGCCCUAGAAUCGUCAGGGACCGCACGAUCUUCAUCCGACGGCCUGGUGUUUUAGACCACUAACUCAAUUAUAAACACAAGAGACAAAAAGCGAAAACUCAACCACACUUUUGUUUGUUUAAGCGGCUUCUAUUUUACAGUUUUGUACGAACUUAUCUAUUGCUUGCUCCUUGGUGGAGUAUGCUAGGGCAGAAUGGAGGUGGAGCGAGUGGUGGUGGACGUGCGGCAUUUGAUCGGGCAAGCGCGCAGCUAUGGCUGUGCCUUGGAGAGCUUGGUGUGCAGGAUCUUGGCCAUGGUACACAAUGUGGGCAUUCACCUUCUUGGAUUCACUCGCGUCUGGGGCGUCGACGAGUAUGCUGGGGAGAGCUGGGACGGCGCUGUUCGCGUCGGCGAGAAACGAGCGUAGCAUCAAGGCAUUCCGGGAUUGUGUGGACAAGCUAUUACUGGGAGAUGCUUAGGAAGAUGACGCUGCUGCUGCUCCUUGCCAUGGCUGGGCAUUCCACAUCGGCCAAAGUAUGACUGAUGUUGUGCGGGAGAAUUUUGAGGACAGAGAGACGUAUUACAAAUGGCUUUUCAAGGAACCUGACGAACGAUUUGAGGCUUUUCUCGAGUACGUGGAGAAAGAGGAGAUUUCUCUGUAUGUGCUAUUAUUAAUAUUGUUUGUCCUAGUUCAUUAUUUAUAUCUUGGUUUGUUUUAUAAUAUCAUUUGAGUGUUUCUAUAAGUGUAUUUAAAAGCAUUGAAUUUCCAGUUAUUGCUUCUCCUGUUAAAAGUAAGCACAAUUGUUUGUUAGGUUGUUUUAUUGUUUUCAAUAUGAAGUCAUCAUGUAUUAUUUUUUGCUUUUUAUUUAGAGUUCUUAAUAAUUGGUGAUAUUUACUAGUUUCCAUAAGGUAUUCAUCUUGUAUUAUAAUUGUUAAAUUUUUUAAUAUUUUAUAUUUUAUAUUUAAAUUUAAGUUUUUUUUAUUUUUCAUUUUGAAUAAAUCUUUCCCUAUAUCAAAUUCAUCUAUUUGGUUUGUGUUUAUUUCUUACAUAUACUGUGCUUGUUCUUUUAAUAUUUUAUUCAAUCAAUCAAUCAAAUUCACUCUCAUUUAUUACUUUUUUAUAUAUGUAUUGAUGUUAUUUUUCAUUUAUUUGUUCCAUAUUUGCUUCAUAUGCAUUCAUAUAUGUUGUAUACAUUUCUUUAAGAUCUUCUUCUUUUCUAAAUUUUUUAUGUAAGAUUAAUCUUUCAAAAGCCCACUUUUCUGGAUCUUUUUCUUUACUAAAGUUUAUAUAUCCAAUUAUAUUAUUUUUUUUUAAAGUUUUCGUGUUGUUACUUCUUUUUCAAUUAUAUAUUCAGUUGUUAUCUCUGCUAAUGUUAAAUCUUCUAAUUCUUCUAGUCUUUGCAUGUAUUUUUCAAUUAGUCUAGGUACUGCCAUGUUUGUUUCAUCUUCUUGCAUUUUUGCAAGGUCUUGUUUUGUUUUUAAACGUUUUGUUCGUUGUUCUUGUGGUUUAGUAUCAAUGAACUUCUUUUGAGCUACUACAGGGUGAAGGAGAGCUCAACAUCGCCAAAGAUGGAUAUCCAGAGCCAAGAACUAAAGCGAACAUUUGAUAUAUAUGUGCCUUCCUAUUUAACUUUCUUCUAAGCUGCUUUGUUUUUCUUUUGUAAGCUAUCCAGUAGGAUCCAGUAGGAGCACGGUCAUUCAGAAGCAAGAGUCUUAGUUUAGUGAACUACAAGCUCCAUGACAAAGAGAUGUGAAAGAGACAAAGACUUUUAAUGACCAUGUCAAUGUCUUUGAAGGUCGCCCUUGAAAGACUUGACUUUAGCAUAAGUAUAAAGUACUUGCAAUGUGAAGUGCCAUCACUAUUAGCAUUUUGUUGAGCUACAGGAUAAUAUGAUUUGAGUAAAAAGGUGCAUAUAAUGAAGUUCUGCCACUAAUGGUAUGCUUUCUAGAUCCUGUCUACUAAACAGCUUCUUCACACUUUCAAAUUCAAGUCCUGGCUCAAAUUUUUGAUUGCCAUAGUGAUUUUGACUAUGGCUUUUCCAACUCUUUUGUCAAGAGCACUACAAGAGCGUACACGGUUUCAAGCAUCUAGUUCAAACAAAUCAACAACAAAGCUGAAUUUUGGAAUUGCUUGUGGUUCAAGCUCUUUCACAUUCAUUUGCUUACAUAUUUAUUACAAGAUGGGGUUUAGCAUCUAGUACAGAAAACAAUACACCACAUUCUUCACCCAGCUUCUCUGAAGUCCUCAAGAAACUCUCUAUCCGGAUGCACAAUGAUCAUUUUCCUGAAUUCUGGUGUUAGGCAUACAAUGUUAACGUGGUAGAUUACCUGAGAGGGGCUUUCAGAGGCAGGUUGUGUUUCUUGCAUAUUAGUUCUUUUGGAAAUUUCAAGUUGUUGUGCAAUGCAAUCAGUAGCAAUCUUGUGAGUCGUUGCCAUAGGAUUGCUAGUUUGUGUGCUUUGAAAUCUAGAAAUUGUUAAAAGAAGCACUGCAAGAUUUCACGAAUAGAUAUUUGUAUUAUAGAGAAAGCAAUUGAAAAAUAGACAAGAAACAAUUGUUUCUAUUUCUGGUUGUUGGCAAUUUCCAUGGCUGAAUUGUAUGGUGUCUCAAAAUGGACAAUAAUAUUUGCGUCAUUCAAUAGAAAGAACCUAUUGGUUUUGAAGACAGAUAAACAGCAAUCUUUUCUGGGGACUCCAUAGCAAACUUGACCAUAGACCCUUCAUCCAAAUUAUAAAUUUUAUCCACCAUUUUAUCAUGCACUGUAACUCUAUAUUCCAUCAUGUCAUUUGAUAUAAUAGAACCAGUUAUUGUAGAUGAUUUAUGAGGGAUGGAAUGCCCUUUACACUUUGCACAAACAACAAAACCAUCUUCUCUCUACAUUGUAAAAGAGUAAAAUGAGCAAAAACUUUCAACUUGAGUGAGGCUUUGUUGGUUGUCAGGGAUGAAAUAUCCACUAAUCUGUAUAAUUAGAAGUUAGAGUUGAAAGUAGAUGUAAGCAAUUUACAUUACCUUGUCUUUAGAAGUGAGACCAUGGUGUGUUUUAUAAACUUCAUUGAGCUUUUGAAUUUCGUUUGAAUCAACUAGUGGCAAAAAUAAAGUACUUCCAAGUGUUGCUAAAUCACCUAACUCAUGCUUUUCAUAAUAUUAAAAAAUAAAAACUUUGGCAUAUAUCCAGCAUAUAAAUCUGCUACAAUAUGAUGAUACUACUCUUCAUGCUCCGGAUGCAUACAGAGCUAUGAAAUUAUCUUAGAAAUAGAAAAUUAAAUAAGAAAAAACAUUACCAUAGUUACGUCCAAAGGAUUAUCAGAAAAAGCAAUCUUUAUUUUAGGAAAAACACUAGUGUUCAUUACAACAGCAUGUAUAUACCUCCAUACAAAUGGCAAUGCAGCCUGAGCGCGAAAUUCAAGGUAUGGGCUAUGGUUCAAUGGAGAAACACCCCUUGAAAGUAAGGAAAAAGAGCUAUGAAAGUAAGUGAAAGAAAGGAAGAAAAAGAAAAAGAAAAAGAAGAGAAGAGGAACGCCUCACUGGAUGAAGCAUUUGAAAUGAGAGUGGUUAUGAGCGUGUGGGAGCUCACAUCCAUCAGCAUCAACUAGCACAUAUGCUCCACUUCCGAUGUGUCACUGGACAAAGUAGGGGCUGGUCCAACAAGGGGAGAACUUCGAAAGUGGCAUAAACUCCUUGAGUAGAACGAGAUCACCAUCUUCAAAUGGUUCGGCAGACUGCUAGUGAUCAAUGACUGACUUGAUCUUCUACUUGCCUCGAAGGAGAUGUUCAGUUGUGGAUUGUUGCUGUUCUUCCAAGGCAAGAACCUCCAAAUUACGUACAUGAAGCUUGUCCUCAUUGCUAAGCUGCAUUGCUGCUAUGUAUCGAAGUGAAAGUGAGAGCGAUAGCACCUGGAUCUCCACUGGAAACAUGGCCUUUGUCCCAUAGACAAGGGAGAAUGGGGUCACGGAGAUGGAUGUCUUGAAGGACGUCUGAAAGGCCCACAAUGUUGUGACUAAGUGCUCGUACCAAUGCUUUGGGUGAUCUUCCACAAGCUUUGAGAUGAUUAUCUUCAAUAUCUUGUUGCUAGACUCAGCCUAGCCAUUGCACUCAGGAUAAUAGCUGCUACUCUUCACAUGCUUGACCUGCAGCCGUUGGAGAAGAUGCUACAUGUGAAAAGUUGGCUGGAACUCUUGAAUGGUCACAAUCCAAGAUAAAGUAUGAGGACUAUGAACCGGUUGCUGUAAAAGAAAGGUCAGCACAUUAAAACAGACAUGGAAAUGGAUACAGGCUCCAGCAAGAAAGUGACAAAAUCACUCCAAGGUGUAAACAAUAGCCACUGCUUCUUUUUCUGCAUCCACGUACUUCUUCUCAGUCUUCUUGAACGAAUGUGAGGCAUAAUAUGUUGCAUGUGGUGGCUUGCCAGGCUGUGAAUAUUGGCAAAGGCAUACUCCAAAAGCCUCUGUAUCCGUCUUGAUGGGAAUUUUGAAAAGAAGUUGUCGUUCUGGUGGUUAGAGUACCGGGGGCUCCAUGGUAGGAAAUUUUGAACUCAAAGAGCUACAACUCACAUGCAGCACGUUCGAUUGGCUUGAUUCUUUCUACCAGUUGUGUGUCUAGAUGUCUUCUUCCAUCUCCAACAAACAGCAUGACAAAAUAUGCUUAAAGUCAUCAGCUACCAUGAUUUUUGUAGGAAGAUGCUGGCUGUGUGACACCUCAGAUAGUUGCUGAGGAGGAUUGAGUUUGGCUGUGUCUUGCAAAAGAUGGACCUGGUCUAGAGUGAUCGUGUCAUCAAGCUCCAUAAGAGAGAGUUGGUCCCAUGCAAGAAACGAAUCAAGGAGCCCUUCCUCUAUUGAGAAACACUCCAAAAAGUUGGAUAUGGGGGCCCAUACUCUAUAAGCCUUGCCAUCAAAUAAAGAGGGCGUGUCUAGAGGCUCGGCCUUACUCUCAAAUAAAGAGAGUGAGGCUAAGAGAUGUCUCAAGCUAUCUGACUCACCUCCAACAAUGUCGAUUACAUUGCAUGAGAAAGCAUCCGUCAUAUAGAUGGUCGAUUCCACCACCAACUCGGGAAAAGCCUCUAUGAGCUCAAGAGGAAAGUAUGGUGUGGAGGCCAUCUUAGUCUGACCCUGCUGGGCUUACUGAGAAAGAGCUUUACCAUGGUUGUUGAGAAAGGUGGCGCUAUGGGUUUCAUCGCUAAUUUCCAUCUUGCCUUGUGCGCUAUCAAUGGUGCAAUGGGCUGUGACUUGCCAUGAGUGGCCAAGGAUGACAGAGUCCUUCAAUGAGGAUGUUCCAAAACAUUGGUAGUCAACCAUGAGGAAGUCUACCUCAAAAAUAACACCCUGCACUAAGACCUUGACACCACAGCAAAUGCCUGCUGGAGGAAUAAUGUGGUUGGCAAAGGUCUUGAGCACGAUGGAGGAGCUCUCAAUGAUCUGUAGCUGUGCUAAAAGGGCAUCUUUGAGAGAGAUAAUGUUGCUUUUAGAACCAGAGUCAACCAAAGCAUCCAUUCUACAAGAGGAAGUAGCAAUCUGCACCGAGACGAAGAAUGGACUAGGAUCUCCACCAUAUCUUGUCAUGUCAGCGAUGUGCACCUCUUGAGGAGUCCUCUUGAGAGUGCUCUCUAGUGUUCCUGACCAUGCAAACUCCUCUAAACGCUGGCCGAAUCCCGGGACAAGACACAACAUAUCUCAGAGCGAAAAGGUGACGGGAGUGUCAACCAAUUGUUGAAGAAUCGGCUCCAGAACAGGAAUAGCUGUUGGUGAGAUCUUAUGAGGAGAAGAGAGUAGUGACUUGAAGGGGAGAUUACAAGCCACCCUCUGUGUCACUGGGCCUGAUGGCAACGGAGAUUCGCUCUCAACUGGCGCCGAGGGAGCUGUGGCAGGCUGAGCGGUUUCCUUCUUCUUCGCUUGGGCUCGAGUGGCUGUGGUUUGCUGCUGUUGGCUAUAGAGUUCCUCGGCUACCAAAAUUGUGUUGACUGAUGAGGCUGGUGCCUUGCCUUUGCUCGAUGAAAGGGCUGCCUCAAUUGCUUGUUGCUCUAACUGCUCCUGAUAUGUCUCUGGACCCCGAGACGAUGUGGAAUUAUCAGCGAAGGGACGUUGUUGGACACGUUGAGAAGGUGGAGGCCAAAGCUUUGGGUGAAGCUUGAAGCAGCGCUGCAUGUUGUGUGUGUUCGUCUCGCAAUGAUUGCACCAACGGGAUUUAAAUCUACAUUCACAAGCUGUAGCAGCCUCUUUCCUAGACUCCACCAGCUCCUGGAGCAGUUUGUCAUGGUGUGAUUGUUGCUAAAGAAUGAUCUCCUUCAGCUGCCGCAUCUCAUUGGCAAAGUUUUCAAUAGCCGGAGGUGUAUGCUCAAUAGCGAUGGGCUUUGUUGUGGAUGGCCGAACAACUGCACAAGGUGACUCUGAUGGGAUGAUGGCUUGGUCGAAAUCAACUAUAGCAAUCCCCAGGUCAACAAGAAGCUCUCUUUCCAGCUUCGAGGCAAACGAAAAUGCCUCGCGACAAGAGCUGAAUGUCUUCUUAAGAACUUUCCAUUGCAAGUUCCCACGCAGACCCGCUGUGAAUGCUGUGAUCCUCUAUUGUUCAUCUUGGACCACUCUGCAAUCCCAACACUGCUUCCAGUAUGCUCGAAAUUGGGUGAUAUAGUCAGGAAUAGACUCGUGAGCACCCUGCCAGAACGAAAAGAGGUCAACAAGUAGUCGAUUUGUGGGUUUUUCUUCAACAAAACAUUCUCUGAAAGAAGCGAGUAGUGUCUGGAAGUCUGUCCGGUCCUUUGGAAGGAGAGAAUCUGCCCAAGUUGCUGCUUUGCCUUCAAGAGACUACAAGAAGUCGUGGCACAUACGAUCAUCAUUGACGAUCAUGUUUGUGGUGCAAAGCGACUGAUAUGCGAUGUUGGAGAGAAUGUUCCAACACCUGAGAAGGUUGGCAGAUCACUCCCCCUCUACAGAACAUGGAGCUGAGGUCGAGCUAAAAGUGCCUGCACCAUAGCUUGUAGAUCUAAGUCAUUGGAAUCUACCAAGGAUGAAGAGGACUCAGCCUGAGAAGGUGUAGUGUCGUACUUAAGCUACCUUUGGAUGUUAGAAAAUUUACUCCGUACCUUAGGGCCUUGAGGUAUAGUGAGAGGGUGCCAAUUUGUCAUACGUUUGGUUUGUACCCGCAUCAAAUACCCUGAACACUGCAAAUGCUUGGUCAAGGCAACUGGGUUGACAGGAGCAAGAAGACUAUAGGCUAGUGCUCAAGUUGCUCAAAGUUGCCCAAAAUUAUUGUGACGAAGAGGAAUAAGGGUCCAAAUGGAAGGAGAUGUAGACCUCAAGCACAUGUAACCGUUGAUCUGUAGGGUAAAUGCCGAAGUAACCACUAGAGUAGCUGCUGGAGUAACUGGGGACCAGUAAACCAGUAACCGGGGACCUGUAACCUAUAACCGGUAACCCCCACUCUCACUCCUACUCCUACGCCUGCUCCUAUCCUUGCACCUGCUCCUACUCCAACUCCUGUUCAUGUUCUUGUUCUUACGCCUACCUGUUCCUUGAAGAUUGCUUUGUUCCCAAGGAACCUCCAACAAAGUUUAGCCCAAAAGAGAAAAAUGAGUCCUUUAGUCUCGAUCCUUCCCCAUUUUGACUGUUGGUGGGCUCAUUGGAAAGGGCUCAACCCCGUCUACCCUCUAUCGCAAGAAUUUUGGGAAAAAGCCUCCUCAAUAUUCUCUGAAAUCCAAGAAGAAGUAGCCCAGAAUGCCAAUAUUGUGGAAAAACAUGUGCAUGUCACUGAUGUAGAUUGAUACUAAGGUGCCGUUGGUAUUUUUGGAAAGCCUAAGACCAGGACCACUUCUAGAAACAAACGGCAUCCAAAACAAAGCCCGGAGGAGCAUGAAUUCUUGCUACAAAGAUGACCCAAUUUAGCCGGAGAAGAAAAUCCUUUUGCAUACUGCCAAUUUGGCCAAAUCUAGCACCAACUCAGCUAUACAACUCAGAACUCUAUCUCUAUCUCAAGACUUUUACCUCGAGUUUUUUAGAGCCCAACAACUCUAUAGCUAUACACUCAUAUAGUGUGUUUUUGAGGAAGUUGCACUUAAAAAGAACAUGGUUAGUGGUAUAUCAACUACUCUUUUCUUUUCUUUGGUUAUGUUGGUAAACUAAAUAUUUUCUAUGCAGCUGAGCUAUGAUGACAAGACAAUACCCAUUCUUUUCAAUAAGAUGUAUUCUUGAGUGGGCAAAUGAGUCCUGCCAUCUAUGGUUCUUUGCGAAACUUCCUAAUGAUUUUAAAUUCUACAACAUCUAUGGCAGUUCUUGCAAAACUCCAUUCCAUGUCUGGUAUGUGUUCGUCAUUCUUGAUAACCAAAUUUUAUUGGCAACUUUUUUCCAUUGUUUCCAGCUACAGGAGCGAAAAAAUGCCUCAUAGUUGAGCUCAGGGUAAUGUGGAGUUCUUUCUUCAUGCUUACUCAAAGAAAAUUUGGACUUUGCAGGCCAAUUUCAAGUAUGUGGAUGGAGAUGGCACGGUACCAUCCAAGUCUUCCAAGGUAGCCCUCUAUUUCUAUCACCCAGUUCUGAACUCUGCUUUCUUCAUAGGAUGUUGGGUUCACUACGACUGUGAGGCAUAGGGUUCCAGGCAACCAUCGCAGUCUACUAAGAUCAAAUGAGGUGUUCCUCCUCCUCAAAGACAUCCUGGAAAUUAAAGAUGAAGAGAAGAAGCUUGUGGUUCACACUGCUUUGCACAAGUCUAAGGAAGUGAUCGAGAAACAAGCACGCUCUUGUCUCAGCGACACAGCCAUCUCCCACAAGAACAGCACAUGGGACACAAACUCUGAGGACACCCAAGACUACAACAGUGGUAGCAAGAGCGAGGACAACACCGAAAACUCAGUAGUGUUCACCAUCAACACUGAGGAUGCUAGAGCUCAAGCUCAUGGUAGAGCCACACACAAAGGAUUCGAGCUCCAUCACCUUAGCAUUUCUGCCACCGACCGGUGUUGCAGAAGGAAGUGAUUGAGAAAAGGCCGCCAUUGCAGUGGAGAAAGCUUUAGCACCAAGCUCAUAACACUGUACAAUAUGUAAAAAUAUGGAAAAAUACCAUUUAAAUUCUGUCAAAGUGAUGUUCAUGUCUUCUUUCCCAAAGUUUAGGCAGCUUCUAGGUUGAGAUAAUUUGCUCCAAUUGAGAAUAAAUAUCAUGCUUCCAUUUGUGGAAGAAAAGAAAAUCUCACCAAAAGUUUUUCCUUUGUUAUCCAACAGGAAAAGAAAAACAAAUGCAAACUAAAAAUCAGAUAACACAAUGAUUAAUAUUCUUAUGCUUUGAAUUUAACAGUUUUAUUUUAAUACUGGCAACGAAACCAUGACACUCAAAUCUCGAAGCUAUAAUACUUGUGACAUAAAACUCUUGGCCAAUGUAUUUGUCUUUUUUGGCUCAGAUUUAAAGUUUUUUGAAAACUUCACCUUGCCAACCCACCUGCUUUUUGCUGGGCAAUUUCUAGUAUUUUAUUAAAAACUUUGAUUUACUGAGAAAUUUAUAUUGUAAGUAUAUAUAUAUAUAAAAAGAAGCUUCAUCGUGCAUCCUCAUAGUCCACUUGAACUACAAACUGCCGCAUCUUCCCAAAUACUGCAUUUCCUCUCCCAUAGUCUCCAUCAUUAUUAUUCUUGUAUUGCUGCCAUCCAGUUCGCGGAAACGUCUCUUUUGGAACACACGACCACAACCUGUAGCUUGGUCUCUUCAAUGCAGCAUCCACCAUUUCUAAGCCACUCGCUUCAAAGCCGUGUUUUCCAUCCACUCUCUUGAAGACCUGAAUGAGAAUGUCUUCAUCCAUACCAGAAUCAAUGCUCGGAAAGACUUCAGAAGUUGGUUGCACGUACUUGCCCAUCCCUAUCUUUCCUCCAAACUCACCCGCAGAACUUGCCUCCAGCAUGAUAUGAGGUCCAAUAUGAACGGAAGUCUCAGGACCGGAGCUUCCAUUAGCGUAAACUGCCUUGAUAACAAAGUCACCACCCUUCAACAGUAG
rnacentral:lncRNA from 1 species